UGAAAUACAAGUAGUGAAGUCCGUGAGCCAUGCGUCAAGAAAAGCCGCUAUUGUUUAUACCGUACCCGUACCGUAAACCGACACAGGUGGAUGAGGAGAGAAUCCUAAGGCCGGCGGAAGAAGCAUUGUCAAGGAACUCGGCAAAAUGACCCCGUAACUUCGGGAGAAGGGGUGCCACUGAGAAGUGGCCGCAGAGAAUAGGCUCAAGCAACUGUUUAGCAAAAACACAGGUCUAUGCGAAACCGAAAGGUGAGGUAUAUGGGCUGACGCCUGCCCGGUGCUGGAAGGUUAAGAGGAGAGGUUAGCGCAAGCGAAGCUUUGAAUUUAAGCCCCAGUAAACGGCGGCCGUAACAAUAACGGUCCUAAGGUAGCGAAAUUCCUUGUCGGGUAAGUUCCGACCCGCACGAAAGGCGUAAUGAUUUGAGCGCUGUCUCGACAAUGCAUCCGGUGAAAUUGAAGUACCAGUGAAGAUGCUGGUUACCUGCGCCAGGACGGAAAGACCCCAUGGAGCUUUACUCCAGUUUGGUACUGGGGUCCGGUAUUGCAUGUACAGGAUAGGUGGGAGGCUAGGAAGCAGUGACGCCAGUUGCUGCGGAGCCGCUGUUGGGAUACCACCCUUGCAGUACUGGGCUUCUAACCAGCCGCCGUGAACCGGCGGUGGGACAAUGCCAGACGGGGAGUUUGACUGGGGCGGUCGCCUCCGAAAGGGUAUCGGAGGCGCCCAAAGGUUCCCUCAGAAUGGACGGAAACCAUUCGAAGAGUGCAAAGGCAGAAGGGAGCUUGACUGCGACACCGACGGGUGGAGCAGGUACGAAAGUAGGGCUUAGUGAUCCGGUGGUAUUAAGUGGGAAUGCCAUCGCUCAACGGAUAAAAGCUACCCUGGGAUAACAGGCUUAUCACUCCCAAGAGUUCACAUCGACGGAGUGGUUUGGCACCUCGAUGUCGGCUCAUCGCAUCCUGGGGCUGUAGUAGGUCCCAAGGGUUGGGCUGUUCGCCCAUUAAAGCGGUACGCGAGCUGGGUUCAGAACGUCGUGAGACAGUUCGGUCCCUAUCCGGCGUGGGCGUAGGAUAUCUGAGAGGAGCUGUCCUUGGUACGAGAGGACCGGGAUGGACGGACCGCUGGUGUACCGGUUAGACUGCCAAGUCUACGGCCGGGUAGCCAAGUCCGGAAGGGAUAAACGCUGAAGGCAUCUAAGCGUGAAGCCCCCCUCAAGAUGAGAUGUCCCAUUCGAAAGAAGUAAACCCCCUUGAAGACGACGAGGUAGAUAGGGCAGAGGUGGAAGUGCAGUAAUGUAUGGAGCUGACUGUUACUAAUAGGGUGAGGGCUUGACCG
rnacentral:rRNA from 1 species